GAUGAACGCUGGCGGCGUGCCUAAUACAUGCAAGUCGAGCGAACAGACGAGGAGCUUGCUCCUCUGACGUUAGCGGCGGACGGGUGAGUAACACGUGGAUAACCUACCUAUAAGACUGGGAUAACUUCGGGAAACCGGAGCUAAUACCGGAUAAUAUAUUGAACCGCACGGUUCAAUAGUGAAAGACGGUUUUGCUGUCACUUAUAGAUGGAUCCGCGCCGCAUUAGCUAGUUGGUAAGGUAACGGCUUACCAAGGCAACGAUGCGUAGCCGACCUGAGAGGGUGAUCGGCCACACUGGAACUGAGACACGGUCCAGACUCCUACGGGAGGCAGCAGUAGGGAAUCUUCCGCAAUGGGCGAAAGCCUGACGGAGCAACGCCGCGUGAGUGAUGAAGGUCUUCGGAUCGUAAAACUCUGUUAUUAGGGAAGAACAAAUGUGUAAGUAACUAUGCACGUCUUGACGGUACCUAAUCAGAAAGCCACGGCUAACUACGUG
rnacentral:rRNA from 1 species